UACGUAGGGUGCAAGCGUUGUCCGGAAUUAUUGGGCGUAAAGAGCUUGUAGGCGGUUUGUCGCGUCUGCUGUGAAAUUUCGGGGCUCAACCCCGAACUUGCAGUGGGUACGGGCAGACUAGAGUGUGGUAGGGGAGACUGGAAUUCCUGGUGUAGCGGUGAAAUGCGCAGAUAUCAGGAGGAACACCGGUGGCGAAGGCGGGUCUCUGGGCCGAUACUGACGCUGAGGAGCGAAAGCGUGGGGAGCGAACAGG
rnacentral:rRNA from 1 species